GCCUCUGUGGCUCAAUGGAUAGAGCACCAGACUUCUAAUCUGGGGGUUGUGGGUUCAAGUCCCACCUGAGGUA